GACGAGAGUUUCUUGCAGUAUACUGGACCUCGAUCUGAUUCCAGGGACCUGAAGCCUGGGAAGAAGCGAAAGAAAUGAAGUCAGGCGGCUGAACCUUACCCAAGAAUCCUCUUCCCCUUCCUCCUCUAGCUGGACCUGGGGCCUGCUCCCAGUGAGAGGCAAUCCAUCUAUCCAUCCAUUCAUCCAUGAAGUGUCAAUGCCUUAGGCAAAGACCCCCGCCCUCCAGCCCUGGUCCAUAGGGAGCCCGGGGCCGCACCUUUCCCCCCCACCCCGAAAAGGAGCCACAGCAAGGUCGGGGCCACGCGCCGCUUCCCUGUAUCCACUUGCUGUGGCCACCCUGACCCUGUAUGACAGAGUGGUUGAGGCUGCGUGGGCUAUUUUGGAGUCAUUUUCCACCACUGCUGGUUUGGAUGAAAAACUUUGCAUUUUUGUGGUAAAUAGUAAAAAUAAAAUGAAGUGCCCUACAAGUUCAAGUGAAGGACUAAAAAGAGAAAAUACAUUAAAUUUGUGGUCAUCGUUCUAUUAAAGUUCAAUUCGCAGUAGCCUAUAAAUGUACUGAUUUCUCUCAAUUUAACCUCUCCAAAUAGAGUUCCACAUCAUAAAGUGAGGGAAACCUGAACAGCAAUUGUCACUCUUUCUU